rnacentral:lncRNA from 1 species
AUGGCUUCAGAGUGGAACAGGGAAUUUGGCUGGGAUUUUGGGAUGGAAUUCCCGGAGCAGCUGGGGCUGCCCCUGGAUCCCUGGCAGUGCCCAGGGCCAGGCUGGAGCAGGGGGGGACAGCGGGAGGUGACCCUGCCAUGGCAGGGCUGGCACUGGGUGGGCAGGGCCGGGUCGGACGCUCCUUCCAGGCCGAUAUUCCCGGUUUUAGGAAGCUCUUCCCGCUUGCCAGAGCAGACGGAGCCCGGUGCCAGCAGAGGGCGGGCGGGACUGCGGCACCCGCGGCCGGAGGGAGCGGGACAGAACCGGGAUGGAGCGGGGACAGCACCGGGAGAGAGCGGGGACAGCACCGGGAGGGAGCGGGGACAGCACCGGGCAGAGGGGACAGCACUGGGAGAGAGAGGGGACAGCACCGGGAGGGAGAGGGGACAGCACCGGGAAGGAGCGGGGACAGCACCGGGAGAGAGCGGGGACAGCACGGGGCAGAGGGGACAGCACCGGGCAGGGGGACAGCACCGGGAGAGGGGGGACAGCACCGGGAUGGAGCGGGGACAGCACCGGGCAGGGGGGACAGCACCGGGAUGGAGCGGGGACAGCACCGGGCAGGGGGGACAGCACCGGGGACAGCACCGGGAUGGAGCGGGGACAGCACCGGGCAGGGGGGACAGCACCGGGCAGGGGAAACAGGAGCUCGGCCGGCCGGGAAAUGUCCCUGGAGCAGCUCCGUGCGUGAGAGGGGAUUUGUGCCGGACCGUGCGGGGACAACCGGCGGCCGGGCUGGGUCCCCAUGUCCUGCUGGUCACUCCUGCAGCACCUGGCAGUGACCCCUCAUGUCCUCCUCCUCCUCCCCCCACCCCGGGCCGCAUCACAGAGCGGAGCAGGAGCCGGCUGGGGUCGGCACGGUGCGGCUUUAUUUCCACGGAGCGGGGCGAGGUUUUCCCCCCACGGGCUCAAAUCCCUUCGUACAAACCCUCCCACGGCUUUGGCAGCCCCGCGGUUCCCCUGCUCACCCCUCGGCCGCUCCCAGAGCCCUGGGAGAGGCAGGGAAGGGCCGGACACCCCUGGCAGCUCCUUGAGGAGCCUCUCCCGGGUGUUUUGGGGACCCUCGAUCCGUCCUGGUGUCCCCAGCCGGGUGGGGAUGCCCCUCGCUCCAUUGUCACCAGCUGGGCAGGGACAGGGCUGAGGGGACAGGGCUGGAGGCCAAGGGGGGGCUGCACUGAGGGGGGGUUUUCCACCUACCCCUCCUUUUUGGGGGGCUCGGGAGUGGCACACACGAGGAACAAAGCCAGCGCUCGGGGUGGUGCCGAGGAACCCCUGACGGACACAGCUCAGCUACAGGACACACACACACGCACUGCAGCACGGGGGGCACUCCCGGGGGCACGGGGGGCAUGGGGGGUCAAAGCUCGGGGCUGGCACCGGGCACAGAGCCCAGCCCGGGGACCCCGCGGGCCGAGGGCAGGUCCCGCCAUGCCCCGUCCCGUCCCCUCCUGCCCCUCCGCUGGUGCCCGGGGACACGAGGGGCAGCGGGGCCCGCGUGGAGCCCGAGCCCUGCCCAAGCCCCCCCGUCCCCCAGCGGGCUGCCAAGAGAACUGA